UACAGAGGUCCCAAGCGUUGUUCGGAUUUACUGGGCGUAAAGGGUGCGUAGGUGGUCGGGUAAGUCUCAUGUGAAAUCCCGCAGCUUAACUGCGGAACGGCAUGGGAUACUAUUCGGCUCGAGGAUUGGAGGGGGGACUGGAAUUCCCGGUGUAGCAGUGAAAUGCGUAGAUAUCGGGAGGAACACCUAUGGCGAAGGCAGCUCGCUGGGACGUUACUGACGCUGAGACGCGAAAGCGUGGGGAGCAAACAGG
rnacentral:rRNA from 1 species